CGGGCACUUUCGGGUGUCAGCGGCGGACGGGUGAGUAACGCGUGGGAACGUGCCUUCUGGUUCGGAAUAACUCAGGGAAACUUGAGCUAAUACCGGAUACGCCCUUUUGGGGAAAGGGUUUACUGCCGGAAGAUCGGCCCGCGUCUGAUUAGCUAGUUGGUGGGGUAAUGGCCUACCAAGGCGACGAUCAGUAGCUGGUCUGAGAGGAUGAUCAGCCACACUGGGACUGAGACACGGCCCAG
rnacentral:rRNA from 1 species